AAUGAAGACCAUGGCUGCUUUAAUCAGUCUGUUUUGAGGAAGAUCUUGACUGUUACCUUUGUGGAAUGGUUGCGCAAUGAUUCAAUUAAGGACUAUAGAAACUUACCAUGGAUCCAUUGGAGCUGAUUUAAGGAUUCAUCUAAGGUCACAAGAUGUCUGGUUGUCUCUGUGUUUGGCACAUAGAAACAAAU